GCACGAGAGUGCUGUUGUGAGAGGGCGCCGCUGCCAGCGAGUGGCAAGGAGGAGUCCGGGGGAGGAGGACAGGAAGCGGAUUAAAAAGGGAGCGCGGCGGGGUUAGAGGGAAGGAGAGACGGGACGUUGACCGGGAACGACUGCUGUAACUUAGUUGAAGGUUCACUAUGCAACGUCGUCGACAGCAAGACAAGGUCGCCAGGGGAUCCCGUUCUUGGUCCAGGGCUACUGGUACGACGGACCAGCCACGAUCCAGGUCCCCCGGUCCACGACAGAGAUCGGCCGCUACUUGGACGGUAGUGCACCAGGGAUACCCCGUGUCGUGGGCCUCGCAUUCAAAGUGGUCGUCUCAGCCACGCCCACUCAGGACCGCCGACCCCGCCACAACCCCCCUGCCUUUCCGGGGACUAACACUCUAGGAGAGGAACACUGCCGACCCGUUGCAGCCACUUUCCCCGGACGAGCAGCGGCUCUUGUGCUCCGUCUGCUAAGUUCCAGAACUUCACCGCUCCACCCACAGACGCAGCGACCUCCACCGGUCCCGUACUGUACAAGCACGACCCGAAGCCGUCGACGUUGCCUCUGCGGUUGCGACGCUGCGUCGUCUGCGUCCUGAGUUGCUGCGCGAGGAGGUAGCGCCAGCCCCACCCCCUUGCCCUGAAGAUGACUUCCUCAUCGAACUUGACCCCGAAGAACAACUGUAGAGACUACUUGGUCUGGGUUUGUGUAGGGGGGGAUGUAGAGACCUGUAGGGGCGCCACCGGUUGGCCAGCACGAGAGUGCUGUUGUGAGAGGGCGCCGCUGCCAGCGAGUGGCAAGGAGGAGUCCGGGGGAGGACAGGAAGCGGAUUAAAAAGGGAGCGCGGCGGGGUUAGAGGGAAGGGGAGACGGGACGUUGACAGGGAACGACUGCUGUAACUUAGUUGAAGGUAUGAAAUAAACCUUUGUUUUGUUAUUGA